CUUCCUUGAAAGGCCAUUGAUAUUUACAGGGUUAUUCACUAACAAGAUUUCAAAGUGAAUUUCAAAUUUAAGGCCAUAUUAGUCAAACUGGGAGUAUAGUUGACUUAGAGAAUAAUACCAUUGUGGCGAUUAUGAUCUUAACCUUUUCCAAUGCUCUGGCAUGCUUUGCCUUUCUACAAGAGGAGGGCUUUAAUGUCGUUAGGGUGGCAUAGUAUAUCCUAGUGAUUGGGCUCUUCCUGCAGGCAGUAUUCUAGCC